AAAAUCAAAGGAGAAAAGUCAGAUUUCCCCACAUUGAUCCAUAGAUUCAAUGCAACUCCAAUCCAAAUAAACCUUAACAGUUUUGGUUUUUUGUUCAUAGAGUCAACAGGCCGAGUCUAAAAGUUAUCUGGAAGGGCAAGGGGCCAACAUAGUGAAGGCGUUUCUGAAGAAGGGUAAGAAAUGGUUUCUUAAAUGAGACACGAGGAAGACAGCUCGAAGGACGUCUCAGCCAGGCCUGGGGGAGCCUGGCCCAGAGCGACCCGUGUCCGGCCCUCCGUCCGUGUUCCCUCUCUGCCGGGCGCGGCCCCGGGAGGGACAAGUGGUGAGUCCCAGGCACAUGGCGGGUUCAUCCCACGAUUCUUUCCGCCAGGCGGCCUCAGUGGCCCAUUCCCACAGCUGCCUCGUAGCAGGGCCAAGAUGACCUGGCUUCACCUGAACUCUCCGAUAAAAUCCAAUAAACUGUCCUGAGUCCACCCCU